rnacentral:tRNA from 1 species
UCCUCUGUGGCUCAGUUGGUAGAGCAUGGCGCUCACAAAGCCAGGGUUUUGGGUUUGAUUCCUACAGAGGAA